rnacentral:rRNA from 1 species
GUUUGAUCAUGGCUCAGAUUGAACGCUGGCGGCAGGCCUAACACAUGCAAGUCGAACGGUAACAGGAAGAAGCUUGCUUCUUUGCUGACGAGUGGCGGACGGGGGAGUAAUGUCUGGGAAACUGCCUGAUGGAGGGGGAUAACUACUGGAAACGGUAGCUAAUACCGCAUAACGUCGCAAGACCAAAGAGGGGGACCUUCGGGCCUCUUGCCAUCGGAUGUGCCCAGAUGGGAUUAGCUUGUUGGUGGGGUAACGGCUCACCAAGGCGACGAUCCCUAGCUGGUCUGAGAGGAUGACCAGCCACACUGGAACUGAGACACGGUCCAGACUCCUACGGGAGGCAGCAGUGGGGAAUAUUGCACAAUGGGCGCAAGCCUGAUGCAGCCAUGCCGCGUGUAUGAAGAAGGCCUUCGGGUUGUAAA